rfam:Bombyx mori DNA, contig: Bm_scaf4_contig3525, strain: p50T/Dazao, build 2, whole genome shotgun sequence.
GUAACUCAAAUUUGUAUGGAGUUGGAACUUUUACCUACGUUUGCGACUAGGGGCGCUGUUCCAACUGCAUACAGAUUUGGGUUA